rnacentral:tRNA from 1 species
GCCUGGGUGGCUCAGUCAGUUGAGCGUCUGACUUCAGCUCAGGUCAUGAUGUCACGGUUCAUGGGUUCAAGCCCCAAGUCACGCU